GAUGAACGCUAGCGGCACGCUUCAUACAUGCAAGUCGAGGGGCAGCAUAAAGUACUUGUACUUUGAUGGCGACCGGCGAACGGGUGCGUAACGCGUAUGCAACUUACCUUUUACUAGAGAAUAGCCAAGAGAAAUUUUGAUUAAUGCUCUAUACACUUAUUAAUUCUCAUGAAUCUAUAAGAAAAGCUCCGGCGGUAAAAGAUGGGCAUGCGUCCUAUUAGCUUGUAGGUGAGGUAACGGCUCACCUAAGCUCCGAUAGGUAGGGGUCCUGAGAGGGAGAUCCCCCACACUGGUACUGAGACACGGACCAGACUUCUACGGAAGGCAGCAGUAAGGAAUAUUGGACAAUGGAGGCAACUCUGAUCCAGCGAUGCCGCGUGAAGGAAGACGGCCCUAUGGGUUGUAAACUUCUUUUAUACAGGAAGAAACCUUUCCACGUGUGGAAAGCUGACGGUACUGUAAGAAUAAGGAUCGGCUAACUCCGUGCCAGCAGCCGCGGUAAUACGGAGGAUCCAAGCGUUAUCCGGAAUUAUUGGGUUUAAAGGGUCCGCAGGCUGUUUGUUAAGUCAGGGGUGAAAUCCUACCGCUCAACGGUAGAACUGCCUUUGAUACUGGCAAACUUGAGUUAUUGUGAAGUAGUUAGAAUGUGUAGUGUAGCGGUGAAAUGCAUAGAUAUUACACAGAAUACCGAUUGCGAAAGCAGAUUACUAACAAUAUACUGACGCUGAGGGACGAAAGCGUGGGUAGCGAACAGGAUUAGAUACCCUGGUAGUCCACGCCGUAAACGAUGGUCACUAGCUGUUCGAUGUACAUUGGUACAUUGAGUGGCUAAGCGAAAGUGAUAA
rnacentral:rRNA from 1 species